UACGUAGGCAGCAAGCGUUGUUCGGAAUUACUGGGCGUAAAGAGUGUGUAGGCGGUUCUCUAUGUUCGGUGUGAAAUCUCCCGGCUUAACUGGGAGGGGGCGCCGAAAACUGGAGGGCUUGAGUAUGGGAGAGGAAAGCGGAAUUCCUGGAGUAGCGGUGAAAUGCGUAGAUAUCAGGAGGAACACCUGCGGUGUAGACGGCUUUCUGGACCAUCACUGACGCUGAGACACGAAAGCGUGGGUAGCAAACAGG
rnacentral:rRNA from 1 species